GGAUCUUUUAAUAGCCAGUAUGAACAAGAGGAAUGAUUACAGCGAGGAAAACGUCUUUCACUGUUGUUUUAAGAUACAUUUGAAACAUUGUGACCCUAUCCUUUAAUGACAAUUACUAAUAAUGUGUCUUCCUGUCGCCUACAGGAGAUUUUCUUGUCAGUUUUGGAUUUUGUCCUUCCUCAAGGAAAUGUCAGACUGAACCAAGCAGAGGUGUUAUAGCUAUUCCUGAACAGUUUUAUUUAUUCCAUAUCUAACUUUAGGUACCUCUAGUUUGAGACAAGAGUGUUUUCACAUUCAAGUUCACAGUGCCUUGCUUCAAUGCCCUAUCUGAAAAGGAAGAGGCAAGAGGAGCAAAACCUGCAAGCGAUAUAGACGUCAAACAGUUACAGAGUACAACCUGGAUUUAGACAUAUUUGAAACAUAUUGUAAUCCAUUAUGGUGAACCGAAAGAGCAUGAAGUAUAAUACCAGAUGAAUGUACUAUACAUCGAUUAACCAGCCUAAAAAUUAAUGGCCCCAGUUAUCUUUUAAGAACAUGUCACUCCUCUUCGUUUUAAAUUCAGAACUGGUGAGGCGAUACAAAACUAAAUAACCCCAGUAGGUCACCUGUCGACCCAAAACUAUCCAGAAUCAUCAAAAGUGAUCUUAAAUCUAAAUAUUAAAAUGUCUGUGCAUUAUGACAAAGAAGUUAACUUGACAAUGACAUUAAAGAAAAUAUGAUUGGUAGGAACAAAAUUUAAGGCUUUUCACCAAAUUGCUUUUUUGUCUCCAUAAGGUAGCAGCAACAUGUUCUUCACCACGUUGUUUGAGAAGACACCGUUUCCAGCUUUAUUCAGUUAGUCCAGUUCACUGGAGAUAUACAUUCCUGCUGUGUGCAGGACAGAUGUCCCGCCUACAAGUAGUUGUGAUUGGACACUCUUCUCUGUGAAGCAAACCACAUUUCUGACGAAAACAUUCAAGCUGAGAGGGAUGCACAGCUUCAUCAUGUCAGUUCAUCCGUAGCAGCUCCGUUAGAGGAAUGAGUCAUGGAGCAUCUUCCAAUCCCUUAAAUGCACCUGGAAGAGACCAGGAGCGAGGAGAGAGGAGGCUCCUGGAGGAGCUUAGAGGGAGGAACCAGAGAUGUAUCCUCUGCAGAAGUGUUUUACCAGACGGUAACUCUCCUCUGAUCAAAUGUUUAUUGAUUGGUCAGCUGAUCUAACGGGACAGUAAACAGUCGGGCUGCUGUUGUAACACAGCAGAUCAGGAAAACUACUUGUGGAACAGGAAUCAAAGCACCAACAGCAUCUGAUCAUAGCCUAUUCAUAAAAUAAAAAUGACUGAAUAAGGAAUCAAUCACAAAAAACACUGUUGUAACUAUUAUUAUUUUCUUCAUAAGCCAAAAGGCCUCUCCCUUCUUCUUUUCCAUUUCAGUACUUCUCAGCUCCUUCAGGAAAAUAUGACGCUGUGCAGCUGUGUGUCUCCUGUAAAAUCAUCCUGAGCCUGAGAAGCACGUCAGACUUUCACAAACUAAAUAAGCAACAUUUUAUUCAAACAUAUUCUGCAGGCUACAGCUGUUUUUAUUGCUCCCUCACGUCAGCUGUUCUUUCAGUAAUUAACAGGUUUAAAUUGUCUAUUUGUGUCUUAUUCUGUGACAACCAGCUGCUGCUAUAGAUUUAUAAUCAAAUGAUAAAACACUGCAGCAGUUAUCAGGUGUUUUCCUUCCAGCUAUCAAUAUGUAGAAAUUAAG